UGGAAAAAGUUGAUCCUGGCUCAGGACGAACGCUGGCGGCGUGCCUAAAACAUGCAAGUCGAGCGGACAGAUGGGAGCUUGCUCCCUGAUGUUAGCGGCGGACGGGUGAGUAACACGUGGGUAACCUGCCUGUAAGACUGGGAUAACUCCGGGAAACCGGGGCUAAUACCGGAUGCUUGUUUGAACCGCAUGGUUCAAACAUAAAAGGUGGCUUCGGCUACCACUUACAGAUGGACCCGCGGCGCAUUAGCUAGUUGGUGAGGUAAUGGCUCACCAAGGCGACGAUGCGUAGCCGACCUGAGAGGGUGAUCGGCCACACUGGGACUGAGACACGGCCCAGACUCCUACGGGAGGCAGCAGUAGGGAAUCUUCCGCAAUGGACGAAAGUCUGACGGAGCAACGCCGCGUGAGUGAUGAAGGUUUUCGGAUCGUAAAGCUCUGUUGUUAGGGAAGAACAAGUACCGUUCGAAUAGGGCGGUACCUUGACGGUACCUAACCA
rnacentral:rRNA from 1 species